UAGUGGCGAACGGGUGAGUAACACGUGGGCAAUCUGCCCUUCACUNUGGGACAAGCCCUGGAAACGGGGUCUAAUACCGGAUAAUACUUUCUCUCUCAUGGGGGAAGGUUAAAAGCUCCGGCGGUGAAGGAUGAGCCCGCGGCCUAUCAGCUAGUUGGUGGGGUAAUGGCCUACCAAGGCGACGACGGGUAGCCGGCCUGAGAGGGCGACCGGCCACACUGGGACUGAGACACGGCCCAGACUCCUACGGGAGGCAGCAGUGGGGAAUAUUGCACAAUGGGCGAAAGCCUGAUGCAGCGACGCCGCGUGAGGGAUGACGGCCUUCGGGUUGUAAACCUCUUUCAGCAGGGAAGAAGCGAAAGUGACGGUACCUGCAGAAGAAGCGCCGGCUAACUACGUGCCAGCAGCCGCGGUAAUACGUAGGGCGCAAGCGUUGUCCGGAAUUAUUGGGCGUAAAGAGCUCGUAGGCGGGCUUGUUGCGUCGGUUGUGAAAGCCCGGGGCUUAACCCCGGGUCUGCAGUCGAUACGGGCAGGCUAGAGUGUGGUAGGGGAGAUCGGAAUUCCU
rnacentral:rRNA from 1 species